ACGGAAGGCAGCAGUGGGGAAUAUUGCACAAUGGGCGAAAGCCUGAUGCAGCGACGCCGCGUGAGUGAAGAAGUAUCUCGGUAUGUAAAGCUCUAUCAGCAGGGAAGAAAAUGACGGUACCUGACUAAGAAGCCCCGGCUAACUACGUGCCAGCAGCCGCGGUAAUACGUAGGGGGCAAGCGUUAUCCGGAUUUACUGGGUGUAAAGGGAGCGUAGACGGUUUGGCAAGUCUGAAGUGAAAUGCGGGGGCUCAACUCCUGAACUGCUUUGGAGACUGUCGAACUAGAGUGCAGGAGAGGUAAGUGGAAUUCCUAGUGUAGCGGUGAAAUGCGUAGAUAUUAGGAGGAACACCAGUGGCGAAGGCGGCUUACUGGACUGUAACUGACGUUGAGGCUCGAAAGCGUGGGGAGCAAACAGGAUUAGAUACCCUGGUA
rnacentral:rRNA from 1 species